CAGCAGCCGCGGUAAUACGUAGGGGGCGAGCGUUGUCCGGAAUGACUGGGCGUAAAGGGUGCGUAGGUGGUUUAAUAAGUUAGAAGUGUAAUACCCAGGGCUUAACUCGGGUGCUGCUUCUAAAACUAUUAGGCUUGAGUGUAGUAGAGGAAAGCGGAAUUCAAUGUGUAGCGGUGGAAUGCGUAGAUAUAUUGAAGAACAUCAGUGGCGAAGGCGGCUUUCUGGACUAUAACUGACACUGAGGCACGAAAGCGUGGGGAGCAAACAGGAUUAGAUACCCUGGUAGUCCACGCCGUAAACGAUGGAUACUAGAUGCAGGAGGUAUUCACUCCUUCUGUGUCGCAGCUAACGCAAUAAGUAUCCCGCCUGGGGAGUACGAUCGCAAGAUUAAAACUCAAAGGAAUUGACGGGGACCCGCACAGGCAGCGGAGCAUGUGGUUUAAUUCGAAGCAACGCGAAAAACCUUACCAAGACUUGACAUCAGUAUGACUAUCAUAGAAAUAUGGUAUCUCGCAAGAGCAUACUGACAGGUGGUGCAUGGUUGUCGUCAGCUCGUGUCGUGAGAUGUUAGGUUAAGUCCUGCAACGAGCGCAACCCUUAUAACUAGUUGCCAAUAUUAAGUUAGGAACUCUAGUUAGACUGCCGUGGUCAACACGGAGGAAGGUGGGGAUGACGUCAAAUCAUCAUGCCCCUUACGUCUUGGGCUACACAUGUGCUACAAUGGCUAUUACAAAGAGUUGCAAGUUGGUAACAGCAAGCUAAUCUCAAAAAAAUAGUCUCAGUUCGGAUUGUGGGCUGCAACCCGCCCACAUGAAGUCGGAGUUGCUAGUAAUCCCGAACCAGCAUGUCGGGGUGAAUGCGUUCCCGGGUCUUGUACACACCGCCCGUCACGCCAUGGGAGUUGGUAGUACCCAAAGUCGGUGAGCUAACCGCAAGGAAGCAGCCGCCUAAGGUAAGAUCAAUGACUGGGGUGAAGUCGUAACAAGGUAGCCGU
rnacentral:rRNA from 2 species